rnacentral:antisense_RNA from 1 species
GUUGCCUCAAGACCUGAAAAUGAAUGAGCAUCAUCCCUUAAAGUGUUAACACGGAAGCAUUAAUACCAAGAACAAUGAGAUAAAUCCUGUUUGCACAUCAUUUCCACUGCGUCACUCUUCCUUGUCUACAUUCUGAAGAAAUCGCACUGAAAACAUGUCUAAAUAUUCAUACUCUUUUUGAGCUUAAAUUUCAGUGGCCAAUUUCAUACUAUAUUGGAAAGUUUUGUCUAAUAAGAGCCUGAGCUGUGUAUCCUGUAUAGAUUUUCGCCAGCAGAGGGUAUUGUCCUGAGUGCCAGCAUUUUGGGGGAUGGUGAACUGUAUCAGCUGAGGAGCUAUAGUCUAUCAGUUAGGAGCAUUAUUCCUUUGUCUUGGAUAUACUUAUGUUCAAAAGCAAUUUCUUCUCCCUCAAGAACUCAUUAAAUGUAUUCACCAAA